rnacentral:lncRNA from 7 species
GUUAUGGCCCUGUGACUGCCAGGCACUCGGUAGCAGGAGCAGCACAGCAGUGGCAUAGGGCCCAGGAGAGAGACCAAAGUCUCAUCCGAGCUUGGCUGCAGGCUCUUGGCCUGAUCUCUAUGGCCUCCCCACCUCCCCUGGAGCCCCGUGGCUAUAUGGGGCUCACUGCAGGAGUUGGAGGAGUGGGAUGGGUGUCUCCGAGGGGGGCAAGGUGUGUUGCUCAGAUGGUUGGGUGAACGUCUGCUGUUCCAUCAGUUUCUUUUCUACCUCUGUAAAGCAGCCACAAAAAACAAUGACUAAUUUCUCUGUGGAAUAUUCAUCUUUAAAAAGCCAGACCUGGGGCUUUGGUGCCUGUGGAGCCUUCCAGCUCCUCAAGUUGGAAAAAUUCUUUCUCUGAAAGAGUGGUAAUGCUUUGGAACUGCCCAGGGAGUGUUGGAGUCCUCAUCCCUGGAGGUGUUCCAGAGCCAUGGAGAUGUGGCACUGAGUGCCCAGGAUUCCUGCCUGUACCCAGUGCUCUCCGAUGCGGGGCUGCUACCUGUGCCACCUACCUGCGCUGUGACUUGGCUUCCCAUCCUACAGAAGGGGAGGUAACAGUGGGGGUCUGUGGGUUCCAGCAUCUCACACAGCUGUUUCCUAGGCAGGCACUGUGGGAUAUGGAAAGGGGGGAGGGUUUGCCUGUGAAGGAAGGGGCCAUGACACUGCCAGGAAUAGCACCCAGGCGUCCCGUGACCUCAGCUCUCCUGCACAAAAACCCGAUAAGGUUCCUGGGCACUGAGCAGCCGUAGGAGAGCACUGCAAAGACUGCUGUUUGUGCUGCCUCUGAGGAUGAGCCAAGUACCUAAUAGGAGCUGAUGAGCAGAAUGGCACUGAACCUGACUCAGCUCCAACGUUAGCCUCCAUUCACCCUCUGCUGUCGCUAUGGGGAGAUGUGCUGUCCCACACUUCCUAAGCGCGUCUCACGCUUUCUCUGCAGCCUUCUCAGUUUCUCGGGUGCAAAACCCAAGCUUUGGACAACGGCAGAAGCAGUCAAUUAUGUUCUCACUCUGUCUGCUUUGGAAGUCCUGGAGUGUGCUGGUGUGACCACAGCCGUAGGAGCGGGGCGGUUCGGGAUAAAUCAGAAACAAAAGGGCCAUUAUCCAUAUGGGACCCCAUGAGCGCACCGCAUACCCCAGCAAUCCCGAGCGCUCUGCGUACGGUUCUCGCUUGGUUUUAACUCAAUUUCUUUGAGAUGCAAAUUAGAGGGAUUAUAUUCAGAGGCUACAUCAGAAAGUCUUUAAUCCAAAUGGGCUAUAAGAUUUAUUUGGAAGAGCCAAAUGUCUUGUCUGGGACAGAAGCAACCGAGCUGAACUGAAACAGAUGGACAUAAAGGAAAUUAAGCAACUCUAAUGGUCUUAUCCAGAGUUUCAAAGUAUUUGGUCUUCGGAAAGCUCCAGCUCCUGGAAGCACGUGAUGAGACGGGGAGCUCAAGUUUCAUUUCAAAACAGGCUUUGCAGUUCACUGAGAAAGACAAUAAUAAUGUUUUUAUUCCUCCUGUGUACGGAGGGAAGGCUGCCUUCCAAACCCCGGCUCCUCAGCUCAGCUCAUGACGUCAGAUGGAAGCGUAUUGCACAACGUUUGCAU